rnacentral:rRNA from 1 species
AUUGAACGCUGGCGGCAGGCCUAACACAUGCAAGUCGAGCGGUAACAGAACUAGCUUGCUAGUUGCUGACGAGCGGCGGACGGGUGCGUAACACGUAGGAAUCUGCCCGGUGUGGGGAUAGCCCGGAGAAAUCCGGAUUAAUACCGCAUACGUCCUACUCUUUUUCGGAAGAGGGGGGAAAGCAGGGGAAUCUUCGGAUCCUUGCGCUAUCGGAUGAGCCUGCGUCGGAUUAGCUAGUUGGUAGGGUAAAGGCCUACCAAGGCAACGAUCCGUAGCUGGUCUGAGAGGAUGAUCAGCCACACUGGGACUGAGACACGGCCCAGACUCCUACGGGAGGCAGCAGUGGGGAAUAUUGCACAAUGGGCGGCAAGCCUGAUGCAGCCAUGCCGCGUGUGUG